rnacentral:rRNA from 1 species
UACGUAGGGGGCAAGCGUUGUCCGGAUUUAUUGGGCGUAAAGAGCGUGUAGGCGGCCAUACAGGUCCGUUGUGAAAACUGGAGGCUCAACCUCGAGACGUCGGUGGAAACCGUUUGGCUAGAGUCCGGAAGAGGAGAGUGGAAUUCCCGGUGUAGCGGUGAAAUGCGCAGAUAUCGGGAAGAACACCCGUGGCGAAGGCGGCUCUCUGGGACGGUACUGACGCUGAGACGCGAAAGCGUGGGGAGCGAACAGG